GGGGUUAUGGCUCAGUGAUAGAGUACUUGCCUAGCAUGCAUGAGGCACUGAGUCCGAGCCUCAGCUCCA
rnacentral:tRNA from 1 species